AUUAAAAAAAAAAGAAAAUCAGAACCCCGGAGACUUAACAGGAAAAUGAAAACCCAACGUAUUAAGACGUUCUACUUUCCUCGGGUUGAUCCCUAUCUUUGCCUAAAGAUGUUACUUUAGUAAUCGUGGGGAGUCGUAUGUAGCUUAAACGAUGAACUCAGGACAAACAGCUUCUUUCACUCCGUUCACAAAGGUCUGUUCUUUGGUUUGUGGCUUCUGCUGCUAUUUUCAGAGCCUGUUGCAUCGAUGCGUUGCAGGCUUUUAUAUGCUUCUGAAUGUGUGCAGGUGUGCAGGUUGUGCAGGUUGAUUUGGGAACCUUGGUUAGGAGGUGGAAGGAGCAUUAAUGGUAAGUUUCACAGGUAAAAAAUACUGAAAUGGUGCACUAUGGCCCCCUCCCUUUAUUUCAGUGAAUUUCUAGGUUCAAGAUUGGACAUCGCCUCACCUGCAGUUCAUGGAACACAGUGCAUGACCAAGUUACCGAGCAAACAGCCACAGUUGGAUUCCAUGCUCCAGUGGGGGGACCCCGAGACACAGUAGCCAGUAUCCUCGACAAAGGCUCAAGCUUGGCAUCUUCACCCUGAGGCGAGCCCCCAAACUGCAUUCAUUCCUUCAUUCCCCACCUUCCUUUCUCUGAGUUUGGAUUUCUCCAUUGAAACUUAAAAUAUCCUCAGAAGGAGCCGUACCUUAAACCUUUAUCAGCAGUGGCAUGUUAGAGAAACCCCUCCAAGGGGGAGGAGAAAGCCCUGACAUACCUGCUGUGGGUAAGCCCCCCACCCCUUCCGCAGCCUUGCUUCCCAUUCCUCAACGUUCAUUGGGUGAGUAAGGCUGACGGUGGAGCUCAUCAUUUAGUGGGGAACUUUGGAUUCUCAACACUUAGCAGAGUAGCAAAGCGCCUGGCCCUUGGUUGGUGCACAAUGAACGGGGACUGACUAAACAGCUUCUUCCUGCCCUGCCCCCACGCCCCCCCCCAGACACCCACUGACACACAGUUUGUGUUUAACUUCAGAAGACCAUCGUGUACAGGGCUAUGGUUGCCAGUAUCAGCAGCUCAAGCUGGUUUAAAGGCGAAGACAGAAGCUGGAUUCCGUUGCUGACCAAAGGCUCUGAACCCUAAGCCUAGAAACACCAAGCAGAGUCACAGCUGUCGUGGAGCUCACGUAUGGUUCAUCCAUAAAGCAUGAAUCAGGAUCCAUGAAAGCAGACAUGCCCAGAACCCACGUAAGUCACAGUGUGAUCCCACUGUCAUCAGCCCAUCAGAUGCGGGGGCAGAGGUGAUAGAGGUAAAUGUGGGUGAACCCUUCCCUCCACCUUCCCUCUCUGUCCAACUCACACUGCCUUAAGGAAACACAUUUGCGGAAAGAAGUGUUUUGUAAAGUCUUUAGCAUUUAUAUAUGCAGGUAGGGCAGUCUAACUGGGAGAAAGUGUCUAUGGAUGAGGAGUGUGGCAUGGCAGCAUCCAGGGCAUUGAGGAACAAAAUCUAACCUUUUGCAUUC